rnacentral:rRNA from 1 species
UACGUAGGGUGCAAGCGUUGUCCGGAAUUAUUGGGCGUAAAGAGCUCGUAGGCGGUUUGUCGCGUCUGCUGUGAAAACUCGGGGCUUAACCCCGGGCCUGCAGUGGGUACGGGCAGACUAGAGUGCGGUAGGGGAGACUGGAAUUGCCGGUGUAGUGGUGAAAUGCGUAGAGAUCGGCAGGAACACCCAGGGGGAAACCAGCCGCCUGGGCAUGCGCUGACGCUGAGGUGCGAGAGCGUGGGGAGCGAACCGG